UACGGGGGGGCAAGCGUUGUUCGGAAUUACUGGGCGUAAAGGGCUCGUAGGCGGCCAACUAAGUCAGACGUGAAAUCCCUCGGCUUAACCGGGGAACUGCAUCUGAUACUGGAUGGCUUGAGUUCGGGAGAGGGAUGCGGAAUUCCAGGUGUAGCGGUGAAAUGCGUAGAUAUCUGGAGGAACACCGGUGGCGAAGGCGGCCCACUGGUCCGGUACUGACGCUGAGGUGCGAAAGCGUGGGGAGCAAACAGG
rnacentral:rRNA from 1 species